AGCAUUAACCCUAGUGCUUAUAAGCUUGUUAUAGAACCACCCAAGAUAGAGAAAAACACGUGUUACUCUUCUGAUCUUGGUUUUGAAGGGUUAAGGCUUGAUGAGAAUUUGCCUUUCAAUAUUUCUACCCAUAACACUGUUAUGUUAUUUAACUGCUCAGAUAACGUUCUCCAAUCACCAAUGAAUUGCUCAUCAACCAGCUUUUGUAGGCAGUUUGAAAAGGAAGAGCAAGAAGGAAGUGGAUGCAAAGGUACCCUCUGUUGCCAUUUCUUGAAAGAUGCAUCAAUAACCCAAUAUAUGAUUAGGGUUAGGGUUGGAGGGUGCACUGCCUAUACUUGUGUUCUGGAUAUGAAGCCUGGAGAUCCAAU
rnacentral:misc_RNA from 1 species